UACAGAGGGGGCAAGCGUUAUUCGGAAUUAUUGGGCGUAAAGGGCGCGUAGGCGGCCAUUCAAGUGACGGGUGAAAGCCCUCGGCUUAACCGAGGAACUGCCUGUCAGACUGGAUGGCUUGAGACCGGGAGAGGUGAGUGGAAUUCCGAGUGUAGAGGUGAAAUUCGUAGAUAUCAGGAAGAACACCUAUGGCGAAGGCAGCUCUCUGGGACGGUACUGACGCUGAGACGCGAAAGCGUGGGGAGCGAACAGG
rnacentral:rRNA from 1 species